UACGUAGGCAGCGAGCGUUGUUCGGAAUUACUGGGCGUAAAGAGUGUGUAGGCGGUGCUCUAAGUUCGGUGUGAAAUCUCCCGGCUUAACUGGGAGGGUGCGCCGGAAACUGGAGUGCUCGAGCGUGGGAGAGGAAAGCGGAAGUUCCUGGUGUAGCGGUGAAAUGCGUAGAUAUCAGGAGGAACACCUGCGGUGUAGACGGCUUUCUGGACCAUUGCUGACGCUGAGACACGAAAGCGUGGGUAGCAAACAGG
rnacentral:rRNA from 1 species